AUUUGUGUAAACUCUUUGGGAUUGUAAUCUGUGUGUGUCACUGACAAGGCUGGUACCAAAUGUCCAUAGUUAAGGCUGCACAUAGCCCUUGAUAUGACUCUCAGUUCCAUUACGUUACACAUAAGAGUCAUUGGACGAAGGCGUCUUCUGUACGGGGAGUUUUGUUAAGAGCCCCAACACUCAAUCUGAACAUUAACAACUGUCGCUUGCGGUACGGUUUUGGAAGCAUAAGGACCUUAUAUUCCAUAUCAGCUAGAAAUUCUAUUUAAAAAAAAGUUAAAUUGAUACAUAGGGUUAGUGUUCCCACACGGCCAUAUUUUCAUGUUACAAUGCUUGUUUACGGAAGACAUGAGGCGAACGACCACCUGCGCUAAUGACCUAUCUAGCAUGCUCCGAACACCUGUGUGUAAACAUAACUCGGGAAGCGUAGUUUCGUCGGAUGGAGGACCUGAGCCCUAGGACCAUGCCCCAGGACUACCUGACAUGAUGACUCCUUGCUGUCCCCAGUCCACCUGACCGUGCUGCUGCUCCAGUUUCAACUGUUCUGCCUUAUUAUUAUUCGACCAUGCUGGUCAUUUAUGAACAUUUGAACAUCUUGGCCAUGUUCUGUUAUAAUCUCCACCCGGCACAGCCAGAAGAGGACUGGCCACCCCACAUAGCCUGGUUCCUCUCUAGGUUUCUUCCUAGGUUUUGGCCUUUCUAGGGAGUUUUUCCUAGCCACCGUGCUUCUACACCUGCAUUGCUUGCUGUUUGGGGUUUUAGGCUGGGUUUCUGUACAGCACUUUGAGAUAUCAGCUGAUGUACGAAGGGCUAUAUAAAUACAUUUGAUUUGAUUUGUAACCGCAUCAGUUUGUAUCCAUGAAGCUUCCCAUGUCGGUCAGAUUAUUAUUUUCCGUCUGCUGUAGAGCCUCGAACUCAGAAUUCUCCGUAAACUAAUUACAACACCAUCUAUAUUGCUCAACGACACGAAUAUCUCCCAAUGCCUCAAACGGAGGAGAAAAUAAAAGUUGAUCAACUCAAGCAAACCAGCCAUAAUGUCAACCUGUGCAUGAGAGGAUGCCUUGCUUGCCAAGUACCCUAUGCUACCGUUUCAGCAUUAAAGGCUAUUUCUCAUGACAUGCAACCAGAUUAUUUCGUUAUGACAUCUUUAUCGAAAUAGUGUUAUUUCUCAUAACGACAAUUAUUUCGUAAUAAUUAUAUUAAAAAAAUAUUGGUUUCUGAGUGGCAGCAAUACAAAAGUGCAUAUCAGACCGAGAGCCUAAUGCGUCUUAGGUAGGCCUAGUUCUUAAAGUUUUAGUUGAGAAAAUGAUCUCGCCGCAGAAGUAAGUUACAGGGAUGGUUAAAAACAGCAUGAUUGCCGUAGCAACAUCAGGGGAACUUGGCAGAGGGGAGUGGUGCUUCGAAUAAGCAGUUCUGAAACAUCUUUAAUUGAGCCUCUCAUUAUCCUUAAUUGCCAGCCUCACCACGUUACAGAAACCGAUGAACUGUAUAGGAAGCUCUGUGGACAGGUCGUCUGGAUACUGGGCAGCCAAUAAAGUGGCAGAUGCAAACAGAUGAUCAUGUUUAGCGGACAACAGUUGAGGGCUCAAACAAAACAAGCAGCUUCCGAUUUCGUUCAUACUGGUGAACCGGCGCUUGAGUUGUGUGGUUGCAAUAUCAACCGUCUCUGGUAUAUCUUAGCAUGCAUAAUGUGUGCAGCGCAAUGGACAUGCACCGAGUAUGCAAAACCUUAUGAGCACCUGUUCUUUCCAUGACAGACUGACCAGGUGAAAGUUUUGAUCCCUUAUUGAUGUCACUUGUUAAAUCAGUGUAGAUGAAGGGGAGGAGACAGGUUAAAGAAAGAUUGUUAAGCCUUGAGACAGUUGAGGCAUGGAUUGUGUAUAUGUGACAUUGAGGGUGAAUGGGCAAGACAAAAGAUUUAAGUGCCUUUUGAAUGGGGUAUGGUAGUAGGUGCCAGACACUGCUGGUUUUUCAUGCUCAACAGUUUCAUGUGUAUCAAGAAUGGUCCACCACCUAAAGGACAUCCAGCCAACUUGACACAACUGUGGGAAGCAUUGGAGUCAACAUGGGCCAGCAACCCUGUGGAACACUUGACACCUUGUAGAGUCAUGCACAAUAUAAUGCAUAGUGUCUCAGGAAAGAGUUAUCAAUACUUGUUAUAGAAAACAGUUGGGACCGCAACCUAGGCCUUCAGGCCGAGGUGAAAACAUUUGCACAGAAAAAUGUAAGGCAAUGCAGUCGCAUACUGUAGCUACUAUUGCCCUCCACGUAGAAAACAAAGAGGAGCACAGACACAGAGAAAUGUAUUUCUAAGAGAAAGAAACAACAAAAAUAAACUUCAAGAGAAUU